GCAAAUGAGCAAAACUAUGGAAGCAAAACUCGUCGUCGUGGGGCGUGGUGGAAUAAUUGGCCGGUUUCCCUCGAAUCUAAUCCAACCAUAGGCAAUCGGGUGGGGGGAAGACAGUCUGAGUGUAUGUGUAAACAAAAGACGACCCUUGAAGGGAGCUCAGUGGCACAUUCCGUCGUGGAAGCGUUUUGCAUAAAUCCGUCCGAUUGUGUGAUAAUUGACGAAGGAAGGGAAAUUACAUAAUGGCCACAACCAAUCCCCCUCCUCCCAGCAGAACAACGAACAGACGGGUUGACGUUGCGAAGGGUCCUCGAGUUUGAAGACUGAUAAAAAAGUGACAGCCACCCUUGGCACCCAUAUUAGUUUGCCCGUAUGUAUGAGUAUGGGUUUUUCGGUGGUUAAUAUUGUUUGUUCCCUUUAAGUGAGGAAUUAAUUUAACCACAGCAUAAGCUACCGCCCUACACAUACACCACACUACCGGAUCCGGUCAGUCCGUGGCCUACUUUUAGGGCGGUCCCACCCACCCCAUCGCGCACACACACAUAACAGUUUCACCGGUACUGUUAUGUUCUGAGGCCUUGGGAGACCGGCACUGGUGCGUGUGAUGCCGGCCGGAUUAAUACCAUGGCCGGCCGGGCUAGGGAGUUUGUUAGAUUUUUUUGUUUUUUUGUUCCUGGCAUAUGUUCCACCUAAUGUGAUGCAGUUGGUGCGCGACACACACAUCAAUGUAAGCACUAAAUGGCAUGAAAACAUUAGAAUGGGAACGGAAUCGGCCUGAAUCGUGAAUGUUCGUCGCUCGCGGCCACGCAAAUGGGUGCAGCGGAAAUUCUCUAAUGCAAAUAGCACACUCCCAGCUAGUUGCCAACAAAUCUAUGGUGCGUACACCGUACACCCACAGCCCCGGCGAGGUAGGACCUGGAAACCAACGACCCAAGCCCAAGCGUUCACUUUCGAUGCGGAACCCAUGCGCCGAAGUGAUGGGAAACCGCACGCAACCGCACACAAAAUCGAGGAAAAGAAUGCAUCAAGGCCUGGCCACCAUCGCCACCGCCACCACCACCGCAGAACCGCAAAUCUUCACAUGGUUUUGACCUCGUUUUUUGAGCGUUUUUUAUUUGAGCUGCUGGGAGGGUGGGGAGCGAAUGACUUUUGUUUGCGGAGCGAUAUCUGAAUGGUGCGAAGGUGGAUGUUGGUGGCGUCCUCGGCACCAGGGUUUCAACAGGCGACAUCACUUACCGGUGGAGAUGUGGGAGGCUCAAGAACGAAUGUCGAUUAUGCGCUUAGAUGGGGAUGAGCGUCACUGGUUUGAUGUAGCACCCUAAGCCGUAAAGUUAUUGGAUAUGAUUGGGAUAUUUGAGUUGUACCCAAAUGAAUAUCAAGACAGUUCGUUAGGAUGUUUAUGUAUAAAGAGUAAACAAUAAAGUAAGAUACCUUUUAGUUUUAUUAAUGUCCUGAGAUGAGGUCCCCUUUGAUGGGUUGGAGAAACAAAUAUCCGCAAGCAAAGUAUCUUAAGGGAUAGGUCAGGCACUAACAGCAUUUGAAAGACCUUAAGCCUUCUUAAUUCGUUUGUGAGACGAACGCUGAAUAUUCACCUUUGGGAAAAUACAAGGAUCGGUUUAUGAAGAUCGUGACAAGACAAGACAAGAAUAUUGCAUUCGAGAGUUAAUAACAAAUGAGAAUAGUAAUACUUGAAGAAAUUAAACUAUAUAACUACACAGAGUGGUUAGGUAGCUUAGAAGAUAGCGGUCUUCCGGUAUCCCUGGGGUAACUCUGGUCUGAAAACCCGUACGUAGGAUAAAAUCUCUUCAAUCUCGUCAAGUGAAUCAGAAAUGGCAGAUCAAAAUCUAGAGAUUUUAUGAAUCCUUAUCAAGCCUUAUCAAGCCAUAUUUUUUCCACAUUCCGAAGCCAUAUUGUUGCCUGAGAAAAAAUGGAGAAAAGACUGAGGUGAAUAUCUCACGGAGUAUGAAAACUGUCAUCUUGUCCCACCAAAGCACAAAACUGGAUGGAAAACGGUUUUUUCUUCUUGCAGACGCAUUAGCCAGCGAACGUCCCAUUAAACUAGCAAACAUACCCCAGUGAUAGAUGUUUUGGUUAGACUUCCAUGAGAUCCGCAGCUCGUCAAGAAUAAUAAAAACAAAUCCGCUCAGUAACAACUCAAUAAUGGGUUUCGCAAUAACAAUGCCACCAAGUGUUGCGUCCGAGAAAAACGGAAAACCCAUCCACCCCUAACAAUUCCAUCAACUUCCAUUUCGGCAACACAGUAUUUAGACUGGCGACAAGAUGUGUCACCACAUUAUGACGAAUUCCAGACACACCGGCACAGCUGACCGGGCCAACGAUCUUGGUGUGUGCGCGUGUGUUUGUCUGCGACGAUAACGGAACGGAAAUGGGCCGACAAUUAGCCGGCCGGACCCAGGCCGACCAUUCAAAAGCAGGUCAAAGUCGUGGUUCCAGGGUUCCACCGUCGCGGCGGAUGAAUUUUCGCAGCAUGAAGUUAAAAAUUCAAUUAAGAGCGACCGAACGCAGACUUGGUGUGAAAGUGACGAAUCAACAACAACAACAACAACUGUUGACGGGCUGGGAGGAAAAAUAGACCCGAUGCGUCAUUGCGAUUGACAAAUAGCAAUAUCCGUCUCCUACUUGCACCACGUGUGUUUAUGUAGGCAACACUUUAAAGUAUUGUUUGAAGCCUCUCGGUACGGUCCAGGGUGCGAGUUGCGUUUUCUGCGCUCUUUCGCAUAGGAAACAAGCCUCAAGAUCCUGCCUUUACACACCACUCGCGCCUUCAUAACAGGCAAUGUCACGCAUAUAACCGUAAUGGUGGCGUAUUUGUCUUCGUGACUGAAUAGCCAUGUCUAGGGAAGCCGCAUGAACGAAUUGCGCUACCUCGUGGCGUCACUUAUGGGAGCAGCAAUAGUUGACGUACGACGCGCCAUUGCGUCUCCCUCGGUGCUUUACGUCCAUCAUGUCAACAGAUUAGAUCCUGCAUGCGAAAUGCUUUUGGCUUCUCGUUUUACUAGCACGUAGUUUUACUUUCAACGCACAGCAGUCCCCGUGGUUGUCGAUUGUCACCUAAGCAUCGCCUGGGCCUAUGUUGGCUAGGGUGUUAACGAGGUGAGAUGGCGUAUGACGACGGUUUCUGCAAAUCGCAUUAUUAGCACCGGCAUCAUUGCCUGUUCGCGGGCUUGUCGUGAUACAUUAUUAAAGAUUCCAGCGCCUUGCCUGUAGACGCGGGCACGGUAGCGAUAAAGUGAUAUUUUUAUGCUUCAAAUUGAAGCACAGAAGAAACUGGAUCAUAUGACAUCACGUCAUCUUGAAGCGCAUCUCUGCUGAUCUUCGCAUUGUAAAUUAUUGCACCACUAAUGGCAUUCCGAUCUACAUAUUCACUGGCAUCGCUUGUUUCGCCCUAUCAUCAAAGUAGGCUCGAGGCUCCAGUCGCCAUGGCUUGCUGAAGUGAGCAACUUAACAACGACAUCACCACGGAGAACAGUCCUACCAGCCGCUCGGCCCGGCUCCGAUUCCGAUAGGUAGGUGAAGUACACGAUAAUGGUCGUAUGCACCUUCAACUUAUCAUCCUCCGCCAGUGCCAGAAGGUUCGCAGUGACGAAAAACACAAACAAACAGGAGGCAGGUUGGUACCCGUGCAGAACGACCGGUGCGCCCCGACCUACCAAUCCUAAUCGAGAGGGUAACGGAAAUGAGGACACACAGCCGAACAACAAGCGAGUGGUAAGGUCAAUUAGGAAGAGUCCGGGACACGGUGCAGGAAGACGACGUUUGGAACAUCUACUGCUGUGAUAAACAAAUAGCAACGGUUGUAGGGAUAGUUACAGCCGCUACCGACAGUCUGCAGUGUCGUCGUUUAUCGACAAUAAAUUCUGGUCGGUGCCGCCAUGUGUGUGUGUGUGAGGGAUGCGCCCUAUCACAAAGCCGGUCCACAAUCAACCGGUGACGUUGUUGUCGUCGUCUGCGCAGUAGUGAUGUUGAUAAUUGGCCCCCUUGCAACCCACUGUGCGGAUUCCGGAUCUGAUGACGUUUCGGCCAUCCGCACUCGGGGACCGUCGCCAGCAUUAGUCACCAGUGUUGAAGACGGAACCAAUCGUUUGCUUUAUUGGAUGAGUAAUUUAUUCUUCCUUCCAAGCAAUCAAGAUGCGAUUCUUCUUCAAUUUUGCAAAACGUUCCAAAGGCCUUCCAACCAUUAUUGAAGAAAGUGAUAUGUUUAAGCGUAAAUAGCAACCUCCUAUAAAGAAGUUCUGACCAAGCAGCAGACAACUCAUCGGAAGUGUACAUAUCUCCUGAAGCUCGGUAAGGAAUUUCCAAAGAAUUCCAACGAUAACAAAAGACGGAGGCCUGUCUGGCUGGAUUUCUGUUAGCUAUGCCGUUGCAAUCGAUACUGUAAAACUAUUUCGACCUUUCCUGUCUGAUUAGCGACGGACGUGUGAACGCGUACCUUAUAGCUUAUGUUUCAACCGUAUUAGCACUCAUUAUGUCACGAGCUGGCACUCGAAACCGUGGCUGGCUUAACGCACCGGGAAGUAAAUGUCAAGUUCAGGCUUGUUAACGAGUCGGCACCACGUUACACCGUAGCGCAGAACCGUCAAUCGAUAGUGACGGCCAUGUGAUCGGUUAUCGUAAUAAUGGUGGGUUUUCAUAAACAAACAAACAGCGACAAAGAAACGAUUCGAUCCCAUAUCAUCUUUCGGCGGUUUGUUCUUUCUUUACACAAACAGGCGAUCGCUUCGGUUCGCGACGAUCGCUAUCGCUGGACCGGUAGCCGUUGUUUGGUCCGAUCGGUUCUAUUUGUUUGUUUGCUCAAUUACCCGGUUACACCUGUGUGACACCUGCCCCAAACCCCCCCCCCAAACCGUGGCCAACACCGUCUGCACACACAAAUAAGUCUAUCACGUUUUUGCCUUUCGGGAAAGUGGUGCGAACGCAAUAAUACUUGACACGUGCGUGUGUUUGAGCGUUGCGAGCUGACAUUGAUAGUGUGCGCACGGUGCUACAGCGCCUUGCUUAUGUGGGGUUCUCUCGAAUGCGUUUUCCACCCAAGCACUGGGUUGGGGUAAGCGUAACAAAGAACCUGUCCUGCAGGAAACACACUGGCGUUGGAAGCUUGGCCGAGAGACCAGGGUGAAACCUAACAAAGAAAACCUCACAAACCGGUGUCCGUGUCUUCGAACCGGUCCCGGCAAAUGGUUAACUGGGUUAAUGUUAAUCAAAGCUGGAAGAAUGGUUUCAGCUUUUCGUGGCAUAGUUUUCGAAUGUGUCUUGUCUGUUAUUAUUUAUCGCCCCAGCAGGUGACACAGUGCAGUAACUGCUCAUGUUGGCCAUAUUGAGCCCGACCUAUCUAAUUGCGGCCAACAAUUCAUCAACCUCGGCUUAUCGGCUGUUCUUAUUGCGGUUGGGUGGGGGGAGAUCGGAGUCACAAUCUCGCCUUCUCCCACGUUCAACAAAUCAAAAGGUUCAAGAGAAUGCAGGGGGAGGGGGAUGUUAUCGGACAUUUUUGAGGUUAGCAUUGCUGUUCCUCUUCCCACCGAUCUAAUCUAACGAACCGUCAGGUCUGAUUAUCUGAUGCGUCGACGCGAGGUAGUGGUCAGUGUCGGCGUUGCCGUUUUCCGCAAACAUCAUAAACCACACGCACUGGUGCGAUAAGAUUUCCGGGUGGGGAAAACAAGCCACCUCUGACCCCGAACCGAUGGGAAACAGGAGCACACGGUAUCAGAUGUGGCAGAGAUGAUAGGAAGACCGAACCUCGCUGCUGAAACGGUCGUACCUCGUUGUUGUUGUGUGUUGUUUUAAAUAUGAUGCGCUUAUCGACAAAUUGAGCUUGCCGCAGUCUGAGAUUAGCAGCUGGUAGCGGUCGGGCGUAUCAGAACGUCGGUUCGAAUCGCGCUGUGUGUACACACACAAAAUUGUUUAUUUUAUUGCUGUAUAGACAGUUGUUAAAUUUGUCAAGACAUGCUUGAAGGCAGAGAACAGAUGAUGAAAAGGCCGGCCGUCAAGCCGAUGAGUUCCGAUAGGAUUGAACAGUGCUUGCGAGGGAGACUGCUCAUUGGGCGGCCACUAUUCGGACGGAACAUUCCUUAUCGCAGUUUCGUGCUUCUGUGGCAUGAGCUGACGAAUUUGAAUAAUAAUCUAAGAUGGGUGUAUGAUUGGUAUUGUUUUUCACUAGGAAGAGUGACAGUUUGACGCUAGCUUUAUUCAAGAUUUUAUUUCAUUAACCUUAAACCGUAAAUUAGAAUGUUCAUUGCUCUGAUGUUAACGUUAAUGUCUGAAGUUUAUAAUGUGCAAUUACAGCCCUAGAACUUCCUUUAUUUUAUAUAUAUUUUACUAGAUUUUAUUUGAAAUAGCAAUGGGUUUGAAUCAUGUGUAUCAAAACAUACCAUAAGCUGUUGAUCUUGUGAUUUACAAUAACAUGAUCAUAUAGAAGACAUUUUACCCAAACCUACAAGUAAUACUUCUUGCACCAACAUUUGCUAGCUCCAUUGGCCAGAAGAUUUCUUGACAUUCUGGUGCCAGAAAGAAGGGAACAUAGUCUUAUUUCCUCACCCGAACGGUCUAGUAUCAAAGCCAUUCUGACCGACUCCUUAUACAAAAGAGAGCAGAGGCAGGACUGGAGCAGCACUUUUGGAGGUUAAGCUGCCAAAGAAGAAACAGUAGAGUGCCUUAGGAAAUAGCCUCUCGGGAAACUACGAGCUUAAAUGUUUUUUUAAUAAUAAAGAUUUAUUUUUUCAUGUAUUCACAGAAGCUUCGAGACCUCAUUCGGUUCUUUCACCCUUCUAAUAGAGAGCGUUUUAGUAUGAUUUUGAGGUUAUGGUUACCGAAUAUCGAUUCCCGUCCGGAUCGUCUCUUCAUAUGUAGGACUGACUAUUCACCUACGAAUAACCUUGCUUAAGACAGCUGGGGCGGCUCGGUCUUCACACGGCAGUAUAGGGAUUCAAAUCCCAUACCAACCGCCUCCUCGUACGCAGGGCUGGCU